rnacentral:misc_RNA from 1 species
AGUCUCAUCGGAUAAGGGGGUCCCUUGCGAAGGGGGCCUCUUUUCGGUCUUGGACGGUCUUGCCUUCACUUUGUCUGUGAAGGCUCGUCUUCAAAUUCAUCGGCGAGGGUUUCCAAGUCCCCCCCACGGAGACGCGUGAUAAGUCUUGCGUCGUCUGGGGGUAAGGAGCCCGGCCCCCAUCACUCUUUUUUAACG